rnacentral:tRNA from 1 species
GGCUACUUAGCUCAGUUGGUAGAGCUCAACAAUCAUAAUGUUGAGGUCGGCGGUUCGAUCCCGCCAGUAGCCUCCA